rnacentral:lncRNA from 1 species
CGUUCUUUGAGGACAUCGGCAGAGAAAAAUCCAAGACAAUGUAGAAGCAUUAAAUGAAUGGGUACCUUGUACCAUAUGCGUCCUUGCGCCGAGGCGACUGAAGACGCUUCUCUGCUCGGACUCCGUUCUUCGAGGACGUUGGCAGAGAAAUUCAAAAGCAGAAUAGAUAAUGUAAAAACAUUAAAUAAAUGGGUACCUUGUACCGUAUGCGUCCUGGCGCCGAGGCGACUGAAGACACUUCUCUGCUCAGACUCCGUUCUUCGAGGACGUCGGCAGAGAAAUCCAAAAGCAGAAUAGAUAAUGUAAAAA